CUUUUUUAAAAGAUCUUCUUUGAAGGUAUGCUUAAGGAGGGGCUUGCGACACAUUAGUUAGUUGGCAGGGUAAAGGCCUACCAAGACUAUGAUGUGUAGCUGGACUGAGAGGUUGAACAGCCACAUUGGGACUGAGACACGGCCCAAACUCCUACGGGAGGCAGCAGUAGGGAAUUUUCGGCAAUGGAGGAAACUCUGACCGAGCAACGCCGCGUGAACGAUGAAGUACCUCGGUAUGUAAAGUUCUUUUAUUAAGGAAGAAAAAAGAGUGGAAAAACUCCCUUGACGGUACUUAAUGAAUAAGCCCCGGCUAAUUAUGUGCCAGCAGCCGCGGUAAUACAUAAGGGGCGAGCGUUAUCCGGAAUUAUUGGGCGUAAAGGGUGCGUAGGCGGUUUAAUAAGUCUAUAGUUUAAUUUCAGUGCUUAACGCUGUUGUGCUAUAGAAACUGUUUUACUAGAGUGAGAUAGAGGCAAGCGGAAUUCCAUGUGUAGCGGUAAAAUGCGUAAAUAUAUGGAGGAACACCAGAGGCGUAGGCGGCUUGCUGGGUCUUUACUGACGCUGAGGCACGAAAGCGUGGGGAGCAAACAGGAUUAGAUACCCUGGUAGUCCACGCCGUAAACGAUGAGUACUAAGUGUCGGGUAAAACUGGUACUGAAGUUAACACAUUAAGUACUCCGCCUGAGUAGUACGUACGCAAGUAUGAAACUUAAAGGAAUUGACGGGACUCCGCACAAGCGGUGGAUCAUGUUGUUUAAUUCGAAGAUACACGAAAAACCUUACCAGGUCUUGACAUUUUCUUGCGAAAUUAUAGAAAUAUAAUGGAGGUUAUCAGGAAAACAGGUGGUGCAUGGUUGUCGUCAGCUCGUGUCGUGAGAUGUUAGGUUAAGUCCUAAAACGAGCGCAACCCUUGUCGUUAAUUGCCAGCAUGUAAUGAUGGGGACUUUAACGAGACUGCCAAUGAAAAAUGGGAGGAAGGUGGGAAUUACGUCAAAUCAUCAUGCCCCUUAUGAUCUGGG
rnacentral:rRNA from 1 species